AGUGAACGCUGGCGGUAGGCCUAACACAUGCAAGUCGAACGGCAGCACAGUAAGAGCUUGCUCUUACGGGUGGCGAGUGGCGGACGGGUGAGGAAUACAUCGGAAUCUACUUUUUCGUGGGUGAUAACGUAGGGAAACUUACGCUAAUACCGCAUACGACCUACGGGUGAAAGCAGGGGAUCUUCGGACCUUGCGCGAUUGAAUGAGCCGAUGUCGGAUUAGCUAGUUGGCGGGGUAAAGGCCCACCAAGGCGACGAUCCGUAGCUGGUCUGAGAGGAUGAUCAGCCACACGGGAACUGAGACACGGUCCAGACUCCUGCGGGAGGCAGCAGUGGGGAAUAUUGGACAAUGGGCGCAAGCCUGAUCCAGCCAUACCGCGUGGGUGAAGAAGGCCUUCGGGUUGUAAAGCCCUUUUGUUGGGAAAGAAAAGCAGCAGGUUAAUACCCCGCUGUUCUGACGGUACCCAAAGAAGAAGCACCGGCUAACUUCGUG
rnacentral:rRNA from 1 species